UUCACUGGGCUAUAACUGAAUCUAAAAACAAAAAGUGGAAUUCAAGAAACAAAGAUAAGCAAAGAAGAUAGUUAAAUUUACUGAAACUGCAAAAUAAAGCACAGCAAUUUGGGGGAAUAUGAAAAAAGCUCCAGCAUCUCAGAGAAAUUAGGAAAUAAGUAUAACAAGAGGAGGGCAGACAGAACACGUGGCCCAGCUCUUGGCACAUCACCUACAGGCGCAUCAACAGGGAUCUGGAUUACACAUGGAACAGCUGGGACUGAAAUGGGUGCUCUGAUAAGGGAUGCCAGUGACACAGGCAGAGGUGUAACUCUGCCACAAUGCUGCCUUCACGGUAUGUAAUUUACAAAAUUGCUACUAUUUAUUGCUACUAUAAC